GCUUAUCGGACGGAUCGGUCGGUUAUUUACUCUUAACGGCUCGGCUUAUCGGUUAUCUGCUUUUAAAUGUAUUAAUCCGUUAACCACCCGAUAAGAUAUCGGGCGGAUUGGUAUCGAUUUAGCUAUUAUUGGGCGGUUUAUCGGCCGGUUUAUCGGCCUAGUUCAAUUUGUAUUACAGAGGAUUAUUUUGGUCCUUCAAGUUAUACGGUUACUAGUAAUUAGUAAAUACCUAACGGUGCUUCAGCUAACAUAACAGUUAACACUUCCUAACAUGGCAAUUACAUCUCUCAAAAUGAGUCCAGAAUACAACUAGAGAUAAAAUAAAAACUUAGACAUAAAAUCUAGAAUAAUUGGAGACAUCCAAAAUACAACUGUUGUAGCUAACCCCUAGCAGUGCUUCAAUUUCUGCAGCUUCAAAGUUCAAAAAACUUGCAAGUUCUAUUGGCUCCUAAGUAUCCUUGUCACCCCACUCCACCAGAACACUGUACAUUAAUUCCGUAUAAGUCAAAAAAGAAACAUAGCAUCGCUCUCCAACCUAUUUCCCGUUUGCUUCCACUACUCUUCUAUAUCUUCCAACUUGAAAUUGCUUCAUCUAGUGUUCUUAAAAUUUAUUUCCCAGAUUUCGCUUUCUUUGCUUUCAUGACUGUUGUUUCCUAUAUAUUUUCCCAUAAUUUCACCAAAUAAGAAGAGGAAAGAGAAAUUAACAGCAAGAUGCAACAUGAUAUGUGCAUAUGCAUGCUAUCCCACUAAAGAUUCAACCAUCAAGUAGAGAUUCGAAAAGGAGAAGAAAGAAACUUACCAUCUGCUGCUCUGGCUAUGGCCGUAAGCUCGUAACUGGGGUUCUGAGAUCUGGUUCUGAGAAGUGUGUUGAGAUUGUGAGACGGCGAGAGGGAGAGGCGAGACUCGAGAGGGCUGGGCAGUGGGUUGCUGUUACUUAUGAGAUCUGAG
rnacentral:lncRNA from 1 species